rnacentral:rRNA from 1 species
AGGACGAACGCUGGCGGCGUGCUUAACACAUGCAAGUCGAGCGGUAAGGCCUUUCGGGGUACACGAGCGGCGAACGGGUGAGUAACACGUGGGUGAUCUGCCCUGCACUCUGGGAUAAGCCUGGGAAACUGGGUCUAAUACCGGAUAUGACCUGCUCUCGCAGUGGGGGUGGGUGGAAAGAUUUAUCGGUGCAGGAUGGGCCCGCGGCCUAUCAGCUUGUUGGUGGGGUAAUGGCCUACCAAGGCGACGACGGGUAGCCGACCUGAGAGGGUGACCGGCCACACUGGGACUGAGACACGGCCCAGACUCCUACGGGAGCAGCAGUGGGAAUAUGCACGAAUGGGCGAAAGCCUGAUGCAGCGACGCGCGUGAGGAUGAAGGUCCUUCGGGUUAGUAAACCUCUUUCAGCGAGGACGAAGCGAC